UGGGGAAUAUUGCACAAUGGGCGCAAGCCUGAUGCAGCCAUGCCGCGUGUGUGAAGAAGGCCUUCGGGUUGUAAAGCACUUUCAGAGGGGAGGAAGGCUUGUUGGUUAAUACCCAACAGGAUUGACGUUACCCUCAGAAGAAGCACCGGCUAACUCCGUGCCAGCAGCCGCGGUAAUACGGAGGGUGCAAGCGUUAAUCGGAAUUACUGGGCGUAAAGCGCGCGUAGGCGGUUUGUUAAGCGAGAUGUGAAAGCCCCGGGCUUAACCUGGGAACUGCAUUUCGAACUGGCAAGCUAGAGUGUAGAAGAGGGGUGUGGAAUUUCCGGUGUAGCGGUGAAAUGCGUAGAGAUCGGAAGGAACACCAGUGGCGAAGGCGACACCCUGGUCUAACACUGACGCUGAGGUGCGAAAGCGUGGGUAGCAAACAGG
rnacentral:rRNA from 1 species